UAGUCCAGCAUCGAUCAAGGGUCACAAGGCAGAGAAAGAACUUCAUGUUCACGGCCGCCCAGGAUUUCCACACGAGACACCGGUAGGAUAUUCAUAUAGAUCCAUGAUAAACAUAUUAGAAGACACGACUAAUAAUGGGCCAAAGCAUGUAUCCGAGAGAGAUUUACGUAUAAUGCCAAUCAAAGGGGAUGCGGCAUCUAAUGUAUAGGGUUGUAUAUGCCCCGGCUGCCAAUUAUGGCAGUUGCAUGUAUCUUUAGGCCUCAUGUCAGCAAACUAGCUACACGAUACAAUCUAGACACACCUGUCAGCUAGUACCACGUCGAGGUUGCGUACUUAGUCUUCAUUCCACUCUUCAGUUUAUGUUUAUAUAUUUUGUUGAUGGCUAGACUGGAGAAAAUUCGUUUUAGCACAUUUUCAAGAGAUAGUGUUUAACAUUAGAUCAACACUCCAGCUAGUACAGCAUACACACUUCAUUCCAAGUGUUUGAUUCCUGAUGUCUCAUAAACUCAAAAUUACUCAUUGUUACUUCCUUGCACUUUUUUAUCAAAGAUUUGGUAUAGGAGAAAAAGUAACUAAAAUAAGUCAUGAACUAAAUGACAUAACCCUAUCGAUCCGUGGUGCUAUAUAUGGGCAGUGAACAACACAUGGUGUGGUAACUGAGAAAAGUUAUCUCGUGUGAAUCACAUGGACGCUCUAGGAGAGAGAAUAAAUCUAAAAUGGGAGAGAUUCAUUUCGUGGGAACCACAUCCCUCUUUUUGUCUUCCCACGUGUUAUGGCCUGCAGCAGCAACCCUCCCCAAGCAUUGCAAUCGGCACCCGCAUUAUCCACACGGAGCUCUUUCGAUUUUAAACUUCCCAUAGUUAUCUGAUCGACAGAAGAAUUGAUAUCUUUUUGACAUAAAGCCAUGCUAGUUUGAUUUUCCUUCUGCCAAAAAGUAUUACACACAGAAAAUUCAACCAUUGUUAAUGCGGUGGUACCUUGGUUCAUGAUAGGAUGCAGCAUUGACAGUACCCCCAGCAACGGGCACGUUUGUAUCUCAUCCCAGCAAGAAAAAUAAUAGCGCCGCGUCGAGUGCUUCCACCGACUAGCAAAUUGAGAGACGGUGUACCUUUUUUGUUCAUUUUUUCGUUUGUGUUUCCUCCUUUGUUGUUGUUAUUUAUAUAUCAAAAUAUUGUUCACACAGAUGUUGAUCACGCUUUGAAAGAUGUUCACACGUUGAAAUACUGUUGAUCACGCUUAGAAAAAUGUUCACACAUUUAAAUCAUGUUCAUCAUAUAUUAGAAAAAUGUCCGUGAGACAUAAACCAUUUUUCUACAUAAGUUUAAAAAAUUAUUAUGACACUCAAAGAAAUUACCAAUGUAUGCUUCGCAAUAAGCAAGACAUAGCAUUUUUCAGCCAGGAACGUGACUGGCGACGUCUUCCCACAGAUAGGGGUAACCAAGCCAAUUUUCGAGGUCGACAGUUACAUCUUGGUUAGCUAUGCUUUAUGGUGGUUGCUGCUCGGGCCUCUAGUUAUCUACAAUAGAUGAAUGUUCUCGAGAUGGGCGUGUCACACGAGGCCUCUAGCAUGUCAGAUGAGCACCGGCGUGAGUUCAUGAGUUGGGAGGUGAAUGGGUGCACGGCUGCUGUGUGCUGCCGUACGUGGUUUCGUGGCGGCGCCUACGUCGAGGUUGGAAAUACUGGGCAGCGAUGGCCUCUACCGUGAUGAGCUGCCAUGCAUGCCGGUGACGAGUAACUGACUGUCCCAUGAUAGUCUGAUGUGGCAUUUGACAACGAGGUGCUCGCGGCGGAGCACAACAUUUCCCGGUUAGACUGAGGCUCUCCCCCGCUCGUCUUUUCCGACUCCUCAGGGCUGUCCAGUUAUAAAAGAACGAAAAUCACAGAUGGAAAAACACCACUAGGAUCUGUUACUUGAACUUGCCGAAGUUACAAAGAGGUGAAAUCAGAGCAGAGUCCUUGAUAGUUAUGGUACGUGUUGUAGAGGCGUCUGUACGGCAAAGGCCCACACGUCUUAUUGUUCUCUAUGCUACACAGGUAUGAAUCCUUCUGGAGGCAGAUGAGAAACUUUGCUUCGCGGAACAAUCACAGUGUCCAUUACUAGGAGCUGUUUUCACACUAGACGGUAUUAUCCUGAUGUCUUCUAUUCUUAAGCUAGGAUUCUCUUCCUGGUCUUAUCCUGCUGCAGGCAGAUAAGAACUUUUGCCUCGCAGUCUUAUCAUUUUUCUUGCAUUAUUCAGCCUAACAAAUGGCGGAGAAGAGAAACAUACGCAAGUGAUUUGUGAAAUGUGUAUAUAGCUUCACAUGCUACUAGUGGUAUAUAUAUUGUAAACAAUACACAUCUUGGUAGAUGUAAAUAUUUAUUUUGAAAACACUUCAAAUAUACAAGCAUUCUAUAUAAUUUGUGUCUCCCAUACUGACAGUGUAGAAAGUUAGACUCCACACGCUCAAAUGAUUAGACUAUAGUAGCGGCAACAAGAGAGACUGUGUUCAAAACAUGAUCUCUGAAAAGUAUUUUAUAAAGCACAUUAAACUAGUAAUUAAGGAUCCAUAUUUCAUUUAAUAGUGCAGAUAGGUGCUAUUAAGACACAUCUAUGGCACACCCUAGCAUAUGUGCGAUGAAGGCCAGCACACUACACACUUGGUAGAAAAAUAAAGCCGUGUGCCUGAAAGUGAAACGUGUGUGAUGGCAAACACAUCGCGCAGGAUUGGGAAUGAAAAACUGUGUGCCAUUCUUUGCACAUAAUUCUUCUCAAAGAACCGUGAGCAAUUAACUGAAAUGUUGCACACGUAUUGGCAAAAUGGAUUGUAUGUUCUGCAUAGCACACAGUUGUGCUGGAAAAAAUGUAUUUGAUUUUGUGAACUACCCCACACAUAACUUUUUGGUUCAUCAUGUGCGCGUUAGUACAGAUCCUUAAUUUUGACUAAUCAUGUGAGACAUUGGAUAUAUAUUUACUGUAGCAAGCAGUUGCACAUAAGAAGUCGUGUGUGAUAACGGUCACAUGAUUUCAAUAAACAAAAUUAUUCCCUGCUGCAUGUUGGCCUCCACAUGUAAUAGCCGCGCGAAAUAUUUAAAAUAUAAAAACAGUAAACUAAAAAGUAAUAAGGUUCGUUGAUUACGAAUUGAAGAAAAUAUUUAUAAUUUAUAAUAUGAUAUAAAAUCAAUCAUCUAUGACUCUGCAUGCAUGCCAUCGUUAUGGCCGCAGCGGUGCGACACCACAAGGUCAUCAAAAUCGAGGCCCGCGACCAGCUGACCGGAGACUGAGCUACAAUUUUGUCGCGCUCGUUGCCGUUGAUGAAAACAAGUGACCUAUGAAUCUUGGUGGCUUCUAGUGUUCAUGAGUAUGCUGUAAUAACACAUGGAGGAAUGGGGUGCUGGACAUCAAUACGUGCAGCGGGCAUGGCGGCUAGCGGUGCUCAGGCUGGUGGGGAUGGCAGUUAGCGGAAUAAAUCGACAGGAUUAAAUACAAGGGGCGAGAAAGAGCUCAUCGCGGUCUUACCGGGAUGGUGACAACCUCGGGGAAGCUCGGAUGACAGUGAAUCAAGGACUAUAGUUGGCGGGCAGAGGUAGCACAUAUGGCGCUGAUGGUGGCGUUGUACCCUCAAAAUGGGCUUAGAACUUAGGAAAACUACUUCUUUGUGCAAUUUUACCUUGAAAUUUGAAGGGGGAUGUCUGUAUGGUCUUCAUGUCGUAAGCGACCCAGCGAUAAGCGGCUACGAUAGCAUGUCAGGCUCACACAAGAGAAGAAACAAUGGAAAAAGAGCAAGGACAAAUCAUCCUAGAGAGGGAAUUAAUGGAGACUGUAACCGUGAAUGUAAACGAGCUCUAAUAGAGCCGGUUCCAAAGGCGUUGGAAAGAUCUACGGAAAUUAGGAUACAAAGAGUUCUAAUUCUAGAGAUUGGGAUGAUUUUACACACACGCACACACCCGUGAAAACGUGCGGAAAGUCUGAGCCCGAGAAAAGGCUGUUUAUGUUAGAUUGAUCUCUCAUCACGUGGGCCCAACGGCCCAACGGGCCUUGAUCUAUGCGCCCUGAUCGGGGGCGCCCAACCGAUUAUGGUUGGUGGGUCCCUGUGACCCGCGCUAUAUAAAGGAUGGUGGGAUGCCGGCGCACGAACUACGAGAUUCGUCGCAGUCACACCCCUACCGACAUACCUAUCCGAUCUAGGUUAAGCGCGGUGCUCACGGGAAGCUCCAGCUACGCCUAACCCUUCUUCUCCAUCACCGCCGUCGCUACAACACCGAUGAAGACCGGUGCGAGCUCAUCCGGCUCAGGACAAGGUAAAUACACGGGUUUGUACCGGAUCUAUCUAUGCCUAGUAGAUCCACGGCAUCAACAGUUUAGACUCUCAAAAAGGGCUCAAAAAGUGUGGAAAACUAUUUGUUUGUGCAAUUUCACCUCAAAAUUUGGAGGGGCACUACGUCUGUAAGGUCUUUAGGUAAGAAGAACCCCACCGACGAGCGUCUAUGAUAAGAUGUUACAAUCACAUUACAGAAGAAAAGAAAGAAAAAUACAAUAAAAUGAUCGGCCUUGAGAGCGAAUUGCUGGAGACUGUGAACGCGAAUGUGGACGAGCUCUUGAGCCAGUUUGAAAGGUGUUGGAAAGAUCGCGUGAGACUAGGAUACAAGGACAUUAAUUAUCGCGAUCUAGAUGAUUUUAGACACACGAAAAUACCCCCGGGACACAUGCGGAAUGACUCGAACCGAGGAAAUACUAUUUAAACACUCGAAAAGGUCUCAGAAGAUUGGAAAACUAUUUACUUGUAUAAUUUCUCCUCAAAAUUUGAAGGGGCAAGACAUAUAUGUAUGUUCUUUAGGUCGGAAGUGCCCCACCAAUGAGCGGCUACGAUAGGAUGUUAGACCCACGCAAUAAAAGAAAUGGUGGAAAAUAGAAUACAAUAAUAUCCUAUGAAUGUAACGGGUUUCCAGUUUUCCCACGGGACCAAUGUUUGUUGUGGCGGGAGCACAUGUCACAAUUAUUUGGGUUCCCAUGGCCGGGAGCACCGUUCACCCGCUAGUGUUAUUUUUCACACCGAAAGCCCUCCUUUAACCGCGCUCCUACCAGCAACCGCCGUCGGCCCGAUGCUAUGGCCUCCCUUUCCCUCGAUCUUGUACCCGCCGCCACCCCAAUUCUAUCUUCUCCCUCUCCCUGGAUCCCGUAGCCGCCGCCUCCCCGAUUCUAUCAUCUCCCUCUCCCUCGAUCCCCGUCGCUAUACAUCCAUCCAUCAGUCGCCGCAAUGCUGUCUCCGACGCUCACCCGCAACACCUAGCCAUGGUUAGGCUUUGAGUUGCGACUUUUUGUCCUUCGUCCGCGCAUCUCCGGUGGCUCCUCUUUGCCACACACAACGGCCGCUGCAUCUUCUACAAACAUUUAAGCUGAACAAUCCUAACUCUCAUCCCCUAACUCUCAUCCCUUCUCUACUCCGCGCCAUUGGUUGUGCCGAAUGUGAUAUAGGGUUAGUAGGAUACUAGUCAUCCAAAUUAUUAAGUAUAUGGACAUACUCCAAAUUAGGAUUGAAUCCUUAAGACUUUUAUUGAAAAUAAUAGUUAUUUAUGCGAGGCACGUAAAAAAAAUGAUUUUGUUGGUUACUAUGUCAAUAAUAAAACUUGAGAAUGGUACUAUACCUCAAGGUCAUUUAUUUGUGACAUGGAGUGAGCACAGACUAGCAUCGGACAAAACUUUAAGUACCAUAUAAAGAUAAGUACAGUGAACUUUAAAUACCAUAUCACAAUUUCCAUAUUUUACAAAUAAUAUCACGCUCGAUUAAUUUCUGUGGUUCUAGCUAUUUAAUUGGUUGAAACACAUUGUUUAAGAAACAUUUCAAUUAAUUUUAAUAGUUUACGAUAUAAGGAUCAAUGAUAAAUAUUUUCUUAAUGACAUGGAUUAAUAUAUGUGUAUCAUGCACAACUAAGAAUGGGUUCCUCCGCAAGCAGCCGGGCCAAGACAAUGCCGGCGGCAGCGGACUACACCACCUCCUAUGAUUCUACAAAUCCCUCCCUUGCCUCCCGCUUAAGCAGUUCAGAGGUAAAUUUUGGAUGGAGCUGAAGUUAAUUUGAUGUUGUUAUCAUAUAGAUGGAUGAUGAUACAUGAAUGUUCUUUAUUCGUAAAUAUAAUCAUCUCAUGAAGCGUGAACAUUUAAUUGGCUUUCUCCAAUACAUAGCUUCAAAAGAAUGCAGAAAAUAUCAUGAACCGUUGAUUAAUUUCUGUUUUGUGAGAUUUCAGAGACUCAAUGGUUCAUUUUUCAGCAGAAGUCAUGCCCAAUUUUUAUUUCCAUCAUUGAACUUAUAUAAUUAUUCCAUAACAUGAACUUAGGCAAUGGACGAAGGAGGUCCCUUCUGUGGCGACAUGAGCCUAGGCGCAUGUUACAUAGUUCACAUAACUCGCAGUGAGUUAUGUGUCGAUCUUCAAGACGACUUUAUGAAGGGCGGUAUGUUCCAUUUAAUUGCCCAAUUGUCUAAUUAUUCCAAAAUUUUCUAAUUUAUGUUUACCUUUUAUCAUACUCAGCGCAUCCCUUGCUGGGGAAGGGAGGAUUUCAUGUCUGUGGAUAAGGAGUGGACGAUUCAGUUCGACAUGAUGCGCCUUAAGAAUGGUAUUAUAUUAACCCUCAAUCUCACCAAAGGGGGAGGGAGGACGUAUUUCUAUGGUCAAAAUUAAAUGAACAUUGCCACAAAAUUACGGAUGCAAGCAGGGAGGUCGUUCUUACUUUUUCUUCAUGAAUUUCAGGAGGGUCAUCAGGGCGACAACAAGAUCUAUAUGUGGUACGGUAUCCCACAGUCAUUGUAUUACCGCAUAGGAGGAUACCUAUGUCCACAGAACCUGCGAAUACCGUCCUCUAGCUGAGAUUAAGAAGAUUAUUGGUGAGAUGAUGGAUUUAGUUUCAUGUUUUUAUGACGGAGCUUAAGUUAAUUUCAUGCUUCUUAUGUUACCUAUAUGCUUUUAUGUUGUAAAUAAGCAUGUUUAAUUUAUACACAUAUCCCAUAGGGACCCCCUUUAUGAAUACAACAAAUGAACGGGGAUUAUUAUAUGAUAACUUAUGCCCAUAGCCAAUAGGUGCUUGUUUACACGCUAAACAAUGAUCUCUCCUAUAGUACAUGGAGGUUCUUGAAUCGAUUCUGGCAGCGAUACAUACAUCUCUUAUAGAGUUACUCCAGAAUGACUCCCAAAUGAAUAAAAUAAACAAGUUAGAUUCACUCGUUGUUAAAUAAAACAUGAUACCCAUGUUAUGUACUAGUCGUCGUGCAUUCUCACCAGUUGAUAUUCAUCUUUUUCUCUGGUCCCAUACUUCAGAAGCGAGGGAAGAAUGAUAACAUGGGCGAGGGACCUUCCAUACAUGCAUCUAUUCUAGAGUUAUUCAUUUUUUCUAUGGUGCAUGUAUUCGUGGGUUCAUGGCUUUUUUUGUUCUUUUGCAGGUGAUGUCAAAUCGGGAAAGAAUGAUUGAGUAAAAGAGCAACAUCUGCCAUAUUCGGCCAUUUGAUUCUUCCUACUUUCUUUCUUAUCGGUUACGCACAUUGAUGAUCUUUGUGUAAGUCUAUCUAAAUUGUAAUUUGAUGCUGAUGUAUGUAGGUUGGAUGAUGAUCAUGUAUGUAAAAUGGAUGCCAACUUAUAUGCUAUAUAUAUGUACAUAACAAUAUAUAUACAUGACCUGUAUUCUGUUGUACGCAUAGUAUAGUACAUGCAUAUUUUAUAAAAACCAGAAAUUAUAAGCAGUGGGGGCAAGAACAGGUGCUCGCCAAUGGAGUAUGUGCUACGAUGCAACCUUGCUCUCAUCCACCCCACUAGUAGUGGCGGGUUCAACAUUUUGCCUGUCACAUAAGACGAAUUAGCAAUGGCGGGCCACCGCUCGCCACUGGUGGCCUAUUAGCAGUGGCAGGAGGUUAGCGCGGUGGGUUGCCCUGGGCCCCUAGCCCGUCAGUGAUGGUUAUCUUGCACCCGCUACUACUAGGCAUUCCUGCAGUAGUGAAGCGCCCCACCGAUAAGCGUCUAUCAUACUAUGUUAGGCUCACAGUAGAUAAAAAAUGGAUGAAUAAUAGAAGAAAAUAAUUGUCCAAGAGAGAGAAUUCAUGGAAACUAUCAACGCGAAUGCGAAUGAACUCCGAUUGAGUCAGUUUCAAAGGUGUCGGAAAGAUCUCGGGAAACUAGGAUACAAGGACUUUAAAUUUUGCAAUCUGCAUGAUUUUACACACACACACACACAAUCUGAGCACUCGUGUGGUAAAUUUCGGACCCAAAAAUGCCCGUUUAGACCCUCAAGAAGGGCUCAGAAGUUUGGAAAACUAUUUGUCAUUCUACCAUAUUCAACAAGGAUAAAAUGCAGUCGCAUGCUGACCUAGCCUAAUCAAAGAUCGUGUGUUUCCACCAGAGUCUAGAUACUCGUCGUCAAAGACGUCUCUCCCAUCACUAUUGCACCUCAGAGGAGAUAUCAGAAGACUUAGAUGUCCAAUACCGCAUUGCCUCCCGUCACUAUUGCACCUCCUUGAAUCUACCAACAACAUGUUGACUUGUGGCUUGUGUAGGAGUAACCAUGUGUAGCACGUGCCGACGGCAAUCAUGACUUGGAGUCUCUGCAUGAGUCAUCAUGCGCACCUACCGGCGACAAGCUUGACUUGACCUAUUUGGCACAACGGGACAUCCAAUUUCCUAACAUAGGAGCACAUAUGUUCAUUAAACCGUAGCUAACAUGCCCGAAUUUUGGCCAUUCAUUACAUUUAAACAUUUUACAUUAGCGAAAAACAUUUCGCAUUAAAAGUAGAAUUUGAAGAAAUUUUCCAAGGCCCAUGUCAUUUGUGUCAUUCCAAUAAACUGUUUGAAAAUAAGGUAAAAAUCGAUUCUUGUUUUUUAUUUGGAAAAUUCUUUUUCAAAUAUGCAUUUAAAACCCGAGUAAUUUGCAAACAUUUUUUACAUGAGAAGUGAUCCUCGCGGAUUUUCAAACUUGUACGUCGUGGAGUACAAGUAUGAUUGCAGAAUCAUAUUGUACAACUUGUUGCAGAAUAUGUUUUUUCUGUAUCAAUGGAAGAAUUAGGUAAAGCUUUAUUGGAUCGUUCAAUGGGUUUCCAAGAUCGAUACAUUACACGAUGUUCAUAUUGAUUCAUGGUAAACAUAUUAGAAGACACAACUAAUAAUGGGCCAAAGCAUGUCUCUGAGAGAGAUCUACGUAUAAUCUAGACAAAAAGCCAAUCAAAGGGGACGCGGUAUUGAAGGUAUAGGGUCAUACACCCCGGCUGCUAAUAAUGGCAGUUGCAUGACUCUUUAGGCCUCAUGGCAACAAACUAGCUACAUGAUACAAGCUAGACACACCUAUCAGCUAGUACAAGAACGAGGUUGUGUACUUGGUCUGCACAGCAAUCUUCAGUUUAUGUUUUUAGAUAUUGUUGAUGGCUAGACUGGACGAAAUUAGUUUUAGCGCAUUUUCAAGAGAAAGUGUUUUAACAUUAGAACAGCACUCUGUGUGGUACAGCAUACCCACUUCAUUCCAAGUGUAUGAUUCCUGAUGUCUCAUAUUCUCAAAAUUAGACAUUGUUACUUCCUUGCAUUGUUUAUUUUAUCAAUUGGUUCGGAUAGGGAAGAAAAUUACUAUUAAAAUAAGUCAAGAACUAAGAGAGAGAACCCUAUCAAACUGUG
rnacentral:lncRNA from 1 species